CACCGACAAAUAGAGUGAAGUGCGGGUUAAAAAGCCAAUUUUAACUUUUCAUCUUCCCUCCAAAGGAAGCUGGAAAGAAAUCUUCCCUCCAAACGAAAACCCUAUUCUUGAUAAGUUUCCCCACUCUGCUCUGACUUCUUCAGUUUCACCAUUCCCUACUCGUUUCUGACACCAUAUUCAUAUUAUUUUUCUAAAACCCUAUAUUUAAUUCCUUUUCUCUGAUUUUGAGCAGUGCUGGCAAGUUCUUGCCUUAUUUUAUCUAUUGUCUUUAUCAAACCACAUUUUUACUCGAUGGUUGAAGAAUUAGAAUGGAGAAGCGUUGGUUUCAACAGUAAUAAAGUCCAAGUUGUUGGAUAUCCAAGGAUUGAAAUAGAAAAAGGAUGGGAAUGAAACUGGAAUUAAGUGUCCAAGAUUUUCGAUCGGUAAAUAUUUAUCUUCUCUGCAACCCAGAUUUAUUUUUGUUCCUAUCAGUAUAUCUCUACUCAAAUCUGUAAGCCCUAAUUUAUUCUUGUUCCUAUCGGGUAUAUUUCAACACUCUCAAUAUGCCCUAAUUUAAUAGUCUUUUUGUAUAGAAUAUUUAAACAUUGUAUUCACUUUGAUGUUGUCUGCAUAACUAUCCAACUUUUACUCAAUUUUAAACUUCUAUCUAUGCUAUCCAUUUGGGAUUUUUUCCUUGUGAAUUUUACAUGUGCACCAGCUUUAUACUUGUUAUAUAAUCAUAGCAGAAUUGGGUUAAAUUAUGAUUCAUUUCCUUAUACUUUAUUGUUUAUUAAUUUUUCUUAUAGAUGACAAAUUCAAAAAGCUUGUUCACUGUGUAGAGAUUGAACCAAAGUAGAACACAGUAGUUUGGGAACCCUCAAAGCUUGAAUUCUAUAUAUCACGAUAUUUAUAAUACAUGACAUAUGAGAUAAUGAGAAGAGUCCUAUACAUGUCAAACUACAAUUCAAUAUCUGGAGAUUAAUAUCUGAGAAUAUCAAGAUGGUCUAACACGUUGUUUGAUAAAAUGUCGUAUUGAGAUAUUGUCACUAGGACUAUAAUGCUUACUAUGAAUGUUGUUUUAUAAGUGGUUCUUUAGAUCAUCAAAAGGUGAAGAAACCUUUUCAGAUAUUAGUAGGUUGAGUAGUUUAAUUUCACUGAAUGUGAAAAAUAUUAGAACUAUUUUACAUCGUACAUUUCAAAGAACAAUAGAAAUACCGCUAUAAUAGAAAAUUAUAUCAACAAAUAUAUCAUUAUUGUAAAUUUUUAAGGGAGUGAGCAACUUUUAACAGUAUACCUCAUAAAGGGUUUAUAAAUCACAUUUAAGAAGCUUCCAAUUCUUAUUAAAUUUUAACAAUUAUACAUACUCUAUAGUUUGGUGUCCUAUGAAGAUGUAUUUCUCAAUCUGUUAAAGCACUGACAUGUAAAUUGGGUAUGUCUUUAAUAUUUUAACAAAUGGAGGAUAUCAGGGUAAAUACAAUUAGAGAAUGCUUUUAUUUAUAAUGUGGAUGUAUUGAUUAAGCUUAUUAACCUUUGUGAAUUUUGAACUUGCUCAUAUUUAAAAAAAAAUAAAAAAUUGAAGCAUUAUUUAAAUUUUUUGAGGAAUUAAGGGACUUCACGUUGGUCUGAACUUGGCUCUAGUUAUUGCUUUACACAACAUCCAGAGGUAUACCAUAAUACAUGUUAUGUCAUUACUAAAAGGUAAGCUUCAUCCAAGGAAGAAAGUUGUUGUGGAGUUCAAUAGUUGUAACCAAGCCAUCAGAAAAGAGGGUCAAAACUAUAAGUUAUUUAUUUUAUGUUUCAACGACAGAGUCGAGCCAAACAAAUUGAAACAAUAAGGCCAAGCAAAAGGUGCCUCACACAGGAGGAUCCAAAAGUAUUGCCACCCUAAUGGAUGAGAAGGUUGAAAAUGGGAUAGAGCCUACUCAAGCUUAAGUUUCUAUAUUAACUCAUGAACAACGUAAGGACGGUAGACCACUUAAUGAGGAGUCUGCGAAGACAUGAUUUUCCAGAUGCAUGAAAUUUAUAGAGCAUCCGGAUAUUUCAAGGAGGUUGUUGCCGAGCAAAAGAAACAACUGUCAUAGAGUAUGAUGAAGCAUGUGCAAGAUUUCAAUCGGACGAAGAAUUGUAGAAAUUGUUUGAGAGUUGUGCAUCGUUUAUUUUGUUUUUGUUGGUAUUGGAUAGGAUUAAUUAUAAUGAUUUUAGGUUUUUAGCUCAAUCAAUGUAAGUUUAUUUUACGGCCGAGGAUAUGUUAAUAUCAUGAAUUAGUACUUGAUUUUGUUUGUCUUGGUUUAAUGCAAUAUAUUAUGCUUUUAUGAA